AAACUUUUACCGUGUGAAUUCAAUCUAUCAAAAUCUUUGCACCUUGUUCACUUGUGACAAAAAUGGCUGAAGGUCUAUUGUUUAACACGAUUGAGAAGCUGAUUGGAAAGCUGGGUUCUGUGGUUGUUGAAAGCUGGAACAUGAGAGAUGANNNNNNNNNNNNNNNNNNNNNNNNNNNNNNNNNNNNNNNNNNNNNNNNNNNNGUUUUGGAUGCAGAGGAGCAGCAGAGCACCAACAACCAUCAAGUUCAACUUUGGUUGGAAAAGCUCAAAGAUGCUCUUGAUGAUGCAGAUGACUUGCUUGAUGACGUCAACACUGAAGAGUUAAGGCGACAGGUUAUGACCAAUAACAAGAAGGCUAAAAAGGUUCGCAUCUUCUUCUCGUCUUCUAACCAACUUCUCUUUUCUUUCAAAAUGGUUGGGAAAAUUAAGGAACUUGGUAACAUAAUUGAGUCCCUUAAUGUUGAUAAAAGAAUUUUUAAUUUUACAAAUCGCACUCCUGAGCAACGAGUUUUCAAGCGAAGAGAAACUCAUUCCUUUGUUCGUGAGGAAGAAGUCAUUGGAAGAGAGGAGGAGAAGAUAAUGUUGCUAGAGAAGUUGUUUGACAACAACAUCAAUGUGAAAGACAAUGUUUCAGUUAUUUCCAUAAUUGGAGUUGGUGGACUUGGAAAGACUACACUUGCUCAACUUGUAUACGGAGACAAAAAAGUGAAACAACAUUUUGAAUUGACGAAAUGGGUGUGUGUUUCUGAUGAUUUUGAUGUAAAAGGUAUUGCUGCAAAGAUCACUGAAUCAAACACUAAUGUUGAGAUGGAUAAUGUGCAGCUGGAACUUCGCAAAAAAAUUGAGGGCAACAGAUAUUUGCUUGUCUUGGAUGACAUUUGGAAUGAGGAUGGUGAUCUUUGGCUUCAAUUGAUGACACUACUGAAAGACGGAGCAAAAGGAAGUAAAAUAAUUAUCACCACGAGAAGUGAGAAGGUAGCCAAGGUAUGUNNNNNNNNNNNNNNNNNNNNNNNNNNNNNNNNNNNNNNNNNNCAACUUAUCAAACUAAGUUAUGAUCACCUCCCCUUUCAUUUGAAAAACUGUUUUGCUUUUUGUUCUUUGUUUCCACAAGAUUUUUUAAUUGAGAAGCAAAUGCUGAUUCGACUUUGGAUUGCACAAGGAUUUGUUCAGUCAUCAGGCGAAAAUAUCAGUUUAGAAGAUAUUGGUGAAAAGUACUUCAUGGAUUUUGUUCCAAAAUAUCACCGAACGGUUUGGCAAGGUAUGUUUCCAAAUGCAUGAUAUUCUGCAUGAUUUGGCCAGUGUUAUUUCAAGAAGCGACUAUGUUUUAGUUAAUGAAACGGGGCAACAUGUUGACAAAGACAUUCGUCAUGUCUCUUUUGGCUUUAAAUUUGAUUCUUCCUGGCAGGUUCCAACUUCUCUUCUCAAUGCUUACAAACUAAGGACAUUUUUAUUACCACUUCAUACAAUUUAUUAUGAGUUUUCAAUGGAAGUGUCUGCGCAUGCUUGUAAUUCCAUCUUGUCAAGUUUUACACGGUUUCGUGUGUUGCAUCUUAACUGCACAGUGUCAAUGAAGAUUCCAUCUUGUAUUGGUAGGAUGAAACAUCUAAGGUAUCUUGACCUUUCUUUAAGUCAUAGAGUUAAAGAGCUUCCAAGGUCUAUAACUGGAUUGAUUAAUUUGGAGACUCUUUUACUCAAUCAUUGUUUUAGCUUGAGAGAGUUGCCCAAAGAUCUUUGGAAGUUGGUAAGUCUUCGACAUCUUGAGUUGGAGAGGUGCUCUGCAUUAACUUGUAUGCCACGUGGAAUAGGAAAAAUGACUAAGCUUCAAACACUGACACAAUUUGUGUUAGAUACGACUUCCAAAGACAGUGCUAAAGCUAGUGAGCUAUGCGGAUUAAGUAAUUUGAGGGGAGAACUAGAGAUAAAAGGCUUGGAAUGCUGGAGGCAUUGUCCUACAGAAGCUAAGCAUAUCAAUUUAACAGGGAACUCACAUCUUCAUCGGUUAAAAUUAAAUUGGAAUUCACUAAUUGUUGGUGAUGUCAAUGACCUGGAAAAAGAUGAUUCAAUUCUACAGGACAUAGUGCUGCACUCCAACAUCAAGGUCUUAAUAAUAUGUGGUUUCGGUGGUGUCAGAAUGUCUAGUUUGGUCAAUUUAUCUUCAAAUUUGGAUGAAUUGAGUUUAUUCAAUUGCACGAGAUUGCAACAUCUCCAACUUGCACAGUUGCAUGUCAAACGCAUCAUCAUGAAUAUUUUGCCUUCCCUUGAGUGGAUAGUCAACGACAACAAUGGUGAUAAUUCAUCAACAUUUUGUGCAUCACUCACAGAGAUAGAUCUUUAUAUGUUACCUAAUCUUAAAAGAUGGUGCAGGUGUAGUGAAGAAGAAAUUUCUAAGGGUUGUCGUCAUCAAUUUAAGAGUCUUGAUAAUUUAUCGAUUGAUAAUUGUCAAAAUCUAAUUUCCAUUCCACAGCACAUAGAUAUCAAGAAAAUAAAGCUUUGGAAUGUCACAUCAAAGAUAUUACAACAAGCAGUCACUCAUUCCAAGGUGGAGUUUCUUGAUAUAACUUUAAUACUUAAUUUUAAAUCUCUAUGUGGAGUCCUUCAACAUUUCACUGGAGUGUGUGAAUUGAGUAUCAGUCGUUGCGAGGAGUUUGAUCCGUGCAAUGAUGAAGAUGGUUGUUACAGCAUGAAAUGGAAAGAACUCACAAACCUCAAAGUGUUGACUUUUGAAGGAAUCCCAAAAAUGAAAUAUUUGCCUGAGGGGCUUCAGCACAUUACCACUUUACAAACUCUAAGAAUCAAAGAUUGUGUCAACCUUACAUCUAUACCUGAAUGGGCAACAUCACUGCAAGUGUUAGAUAUCAAAAAAUGACCGAUGGUGACGUCUCUGCCUGCGGCGGUGGAAGAUCAAUAGGUCCGAUUUGUGAUUUAUCACGUUCUCUGCUGUGGACAAAGUUAUCAACUGAGGUAUGAUUGAAACUAUCUAAAAUUAAUAUGUUUUAUUUGUUUAUUAUUCCAUUCCUCAUCUAAUAUAUGUUUUUGUUUUGGCAUAUGAAGUUAAAUUGGAAGCUUGCUUAGGGAGGAAUGAAUCAGCAGUUAGUGUGACCAAAUAAAUAAUUAAUAUGUCCCUUACAUUGAGGUAAGCACGACUUCACAACUUAUACAUUAAGUUAAUAUUAACAUUGUCUAUUAGUCUUAUAUCAUUAUAUAAUGUGGAAAUUUUUUCCUAUUAGCAGGUUAAUAAAACUGCUCAAUGGACAUCAAUAAUGGACCGGACAUCUAACCAAAUUGUUAAGAGAUAUACUGUCAUAUCUGUCUUAGGAUGUCGAGCUUUCCCAUCUUUAAGAAUGAUGGAAAGAUGGUAACUACUCAAGUCAAAGCCCCUAGACAAGCAUAAAAUGUGUAGGUUCUGUCAAUUUUCUCCUCUUCGGUUUAUAAUGAUGGUAUAAAAUGUGUAUGUUCAUUUUUGCUAGCAGGUUGAAACUUAUGUUGAUCGUACCGAUUUCUUAUUUCAACCUAACUUCUCAAGAACCAGAAUGUGCCUCUCAAUGGCGUCUCCGAGUUUUAGGAGGCUACGUGCAAAAUAUAAAAGUGGUCCUUUAAUAAAAAAAAUUAUCGAUUUAAAUUGCAUAUAAUAUAUAUAAAAAAAAUAUUCUUAUUCUUGUAAAUAUGUAAAUUAUCAAUAUUAUUGCAUUAAAUGAAAUCAAAUAGGACAAGAAAUACAAAAUAAUUAUCUUUGUAUAUAAUGUCAAAAAGGAACAUCCUAAUCUAAGAUUAAAUUUUAUGCAACGAUUAAAAUGACUAGAACUAUAUUUACGAGUAUAGAUAACUAAUCUAUUGAUACUCAUGUGAUAUUUUAUGAACAUUAACAACUAGUAUUAUUUUAGGGCCUAAAAAUUAAUCUAUUAAUAUAGAUAUGCUAUUUUAUAGAUAUAAAUAAUAUAUAAGUAAUAUUAUAGAACCUCAAAAUUUUGAGUUGAGGCCCUCAAAAUUUUGAAGCUCGAUGCCGUCGCACAUGCCGCACAUGUGUGCAAGCCACCCGCUGGUGUCUCUACUCUUACAUUUUUUAAGUGCCUCUCGUAUAAUAUUUCAAUUUAGCUAGUCUCCUAAAUGUGUUUAUCUAAUUACCCUCUGAGGUUUAUUAUAAGGGUUCUGAAUUAUUUCUUGUUUCUAGCUGAAUUUAUAAAUAUGGUUUGCAGAAAUUUGAUUACAUAUUCACAUUUUACCUCCAUUGCUUGUUAGAAAAGUUAGAGUUUUUCAUGAUUUUGGUGUCGUUGAUAAGUGAUAACUAUUGGUAAUAUUGUGUGGUUCCUGUUUUACCAAUCUGCACAACCAGUAAAGCUUCUACCAUGAUAGCACAGGACACCUAUUAUACAGGGCUUGUCCUGUGUCCGACAUGUGCCUGCAAAGUCAUACCAUUUCAAUUGACAUUCCAAUUCACAAUUCUCAUAUAAUUUUCAUGACUAAUUGAACAAAUUAAGCAGAAGAAAUCAAACUUUUAACCAUAUAUGUUAAUAAAUAAAUGAUAACAAAUUAAUCAACCGAGUCUUCAAUGAAAUUUACUGAAUACUGAAGACUUCAACUAUGUAUUUAUUUUUUUCAUGAUAUGAUAUUAGUUACAACUAUAUAAAUGUCAUAAUUUAAUAUAAUGUUUAUUGAAAUUUUUGUAAUCACAACUAUGAUGGCAUCAACCACAUUUAUAUAAAAUUUAUGGGAGGAUAUCACAUAUUUUUUUUCUACUUAUAUCUACCUUCUUUUUGGUUCUUAUCAACUAUGAUGGCAUCAACCACGUUUAUUGAGGGAAGACUCAGCUCUCCUAAUAAACAAAACAUUCCUGUUGUAUUUAUCAUCCGUCAUUACUAAUAAAAAAAUAUGAAUAAACAAUCAUUAAAUUCUUAAACAAAAGAAGAACAAAUGCUUUGACCUUACAUUACAUCUUUGCAAACUAGAUCUGAUAUCUCUUAACAAAACACUCUGAAAACUUGUACCUGUCUGAAUUCACUUGUGACAAAAAUGGCUGAAGGUUUGUUGUUUAACACGAUUGAGAAGCUGAUCGGGAAGCUGGGUUCUAUGGCUGUGGAGACCUGGAACAUGAGAGAUGAUCUUGAAAAGCUGGUGGAAAACAUGUCUGAGAUCAAGGCUGUGGUUUUGGAUGCAGAGGAGCAGCAGAGCAACAGCCAUCAAGUUCAACUUUGGUUGGAAAAGCUCAAAG
rnacentral:lncRNA from 1 species